AACGAACGCUGGCGGCAUGCCUAAUACAUGCAAGUCGAACGUGAUCUUCGGAUCUAGUGGCGCACGGGUGCGUAACGCGUGGGAAUCUGCCCUUGGGUUCGGAAUAACAGCGGGAAACUGCUGCUAAUACCGGAUGAUGACGUAAGUCCAAAGAUUUAUCGCCCAGGGAUGAGCCCGCGUAGGAUUAGGUAGUUGGUGGGGUAAAGGCCUACUAAGCCUACGAUCCUUAGCUGGUCUGAGAGGAUGAUCAGCCACACUGGGACUGAGACACGGCCCAGACUCCUACGGGAGGCAGCAGUAGGGAAUAUUGGACAAUGGGGGCAACCCUGAUCCAGCAAUGCCGCGUGAGUGAUGAAGGCCUUAGGGUUGUAAAGCUCUUUUACCCGGGAUGAUAAUGACAGUACCGGGAGAAUAAGCCCCGGCUAACUCCGUGCCAGCCGCCGCAGUAA
rnacentral:rRNA from 1 species